GUGGAUUAGAUACCCUAGUAGUCCACGCCGUAAACGUUGGGCACUAGGUGUGGGACUCUAUCGACGGGUUCCGUGCCGUAGCUAACGCAUUAAGUGCCCCGCCUGGGGAGUACGGCCGCAAGGCUAAAACUCAAAGGAAUUGACGGGGGCCCGCACAAGCGGCGGAGCAUGUGGCUUAAUUCGAUGCAACGCGAAGAACCUUACCUGGGUUGAACUAUGCAGGAAAAGCCGUAGAGAUACGGUGUCCUUCGGGGCCUGUGAUAGGUGGUGCAUGGCCGUCGCCAACU
rnacentral:rRNA from 1 species